GUGCUCACUUAGGCAGCACAUAUACUAAAUUAGAAUGAUACAGAGAAGAUUAAAGUGGCCCCUGAGUAGGGAUAACACACAAAUUGGUGAAGUGCUCCAUAUUAAA
ensembl:snRNA U6 U6 spliceosomal RNA